ensembl:snRNA U6 U6 spliceosomal RNA
GUGCUCACUUCAGCAACACAUGUAAUACAACUGAAACAAUAUAGCGAAGAUUAGCAUGGCCCCUACGCAAGGAUGCGUGCAAACUUCGGAAACAGUCCACAGUUUA